rnacentral:rRNA from 1 species
GACAGAGGGUGCAAACGUUGUUCGGAAUUACUGGGCGUAAAGCGCGUGUAGGCGGCCGUACAGGUCAGCUGUGAAAACUCGAGGCUCAACCUCGAGACGUCGGUUGAAACCGUACGGCUAGAGUCCGGAAGAGGAGAGUGGAAUUCCCGGUGUAGCGGUGAAAUGCGCAGAUAUCGGGAAGAACACCCGUGGCGAAGGCGGUGAGCUGGGCAGUAGCUGACACUGAGGCGCGACAGCGUGGGGAGCAAACAGG